AACUCUUGUCAGAAACUCCAUUUUUUGCCUUUCGUUGCAACAUGUCUAGUGUGGUACCUAACUUUUUGUGCCCCUAUUUGCAAUCUGGGUAUAAUAAUUUUUUAUGAUCAUCUAACAUACGCUCAAACUUCUUUGACUCCUUCACAUUCUCACGAUCUUCCUUUGCAUCUCGCAACACCUGACCUAGAUCAUCGGUAGGACCUUCUUCUGCAACCAUCUCUU
rnacentral:lncRNA from 1 species